UACGAAGGGGGCUAGCGUUGUUCGGAUUUACUGGGCGUAAAGCGCACGUAGGCGGAUUGUUAAGUCAGGGGUGAAAUCCUGGAGCUCAACUCCAGAACUGCCUUUGAUACUGGGGAUCUCGAGUCCGGAAGAGGUGAGUGGAACUCCGAGUGUAGAGGUGAAAUUCGUAGAUAUUCGGAAGAACACCAGUGGCGAAGGCGACUAACUGGACAGGUAUUGACGCUGAGGUGCGAAAGCGUGGGGAGCAAACAGG
rnacentral:rRNA from 1 species